AUUGAACGCUGGCGGCAUGCCUUACACAUGCAAGUCGAACGGCAGCACGGGGCAACCUGGUGGCGAGUGGCGAACGGGUGAGUAAUGCAUCGGAACGUACCUUUCAGUGGGGGAUAACGUAGCGAAAGUUACGCUAAUACCGCAUAUUCUGUGAGCAGGAAAGCAGGGGAUCGCAAGACCUUGCGCUGAUUGAGCGGCCGAUGUCAGAUUAGCUAGUUGGUGAGGUAAAGGCUCACCAAGGCGACGAUCUGUAGCGGGUCUGAGAGGAUGAUCCGCCACACUGGAACUGAGACACGGUCCAGACUCCUACGGGAGGCAGCAGUGGGGAAUUUUGGACAAUGGGGGCAACCCUGAUCCAGCCACGCCGCGUGAGUGAAGAAGGCCUUCGGGUUGUAAAGCUCUUUCGGCCGGGAAGAAAUCGCAUCAGCUAAUACCUGGUGUGGAUGACGGUACCGGAAUAAGAAGCACCGGCUAACUACGUGCCAGCAGCCGCGGUAAUAC
rnacentral:rRNA from 1 species